rnacentral:rRNA from 1 species
UACGUAGGGGGCAAGCGUUGUCCGGAUUUAUUGGGCGUAAAGAGCGUGUAGGCGGCCGCACAGGUCCGUUGUGAAAACUGGAGGCUUAACCUUCAGACGUCGAUGGAAACCGUGCGGCUAGAGUCCGGAAGAGGAGAGUGGAAUUCCUGGUGUAGCGGUGAAAUGCGUAGAUAUCUGGAGGAACACCGGUGGCGAAGGCGACAUCCUGGACCGGUAUUGACGCUGAGGCGCGAAAGCCAGGGGAGCAAACGGG